rnacentral:tRNA from 1 species
GAGGGUAUAGCUCAGUGGUAGAGCACGUGCUUAGCAUGCACGAGGUCCUGGAUUCAAUCCCCAGGACCCCCA